rnacentral:rRNA from 1 species
GAUGAACGCUGGCGGCGUGCCUAAUACAUGCAAGUCGAGCGAACUGAUUAGAAGCUUGCUUCUAUGACGUUAGCGGCGGACGGGUGAGUAACACGUGGGCAACCUGCCUGUAAGACUGGGAUAACUUCGGGAAACCGAAGCUAAUACCGGAUAGGAUCAUCUCAUUCAUGGGAGAUGAUUGAAAGAUGGUUCCGGCUAUCACUUACAGAUGGGCCCGCGGUGCAUUAGCUAGUUGGUGAGGUAACGGCUCACCAAGGCAACGAUGCAUAGCCGACCUGAGAGGGUGAUCGGCCACACUGGGACUGAGACACGGCCCAGACUCCUACGGGAGGCAGCAGUAGGGAAUCUUCCGCAAUGGACGAAAGUCUGACGGAGCAACGCCGCGUGAGUGAUGAAGGCUUUCGGGUCGUAAAACUCUGUUGUUAGGGAAGAACAAGUACAAGAGUAACUGCUUGUACCUUGACGGUACCUAACCAGAAAGCCACGGCUAACUACAUGCCAGCCGCCGCCGUAAAAC